rnacentral:rRNA from 1 species
AGAGUUUGAUCAUGGCUCAGAUUGAACGCUGGCGGCAGGCCUAACACAUGCAAGUCGAACGGUAACAGGGAGCAGCUUGCUGCUUCGCUGACGAGUGGCGGACGGGUGAGUAAUGUCUGGGAAACUGCCUGAUGGAGGGGGAUAACUACUGGAAACGGUAGCUAAUACCGCAUAACGUCUUCGGACCAAAGUGGGGGACCUUCGGGCCUCAUGCCAUCAGAUGUGCCCAGAUGGGAUUAGCUAGUAGGUGGGGUAACGGCUCACCUAGGCGACGAUCCCUAGCUGGUCUGAGAGGAUGACCAGCCACACUGGAACUGAGACACGGUCCAGACUCCUACGGGAGGCAGCAGUGGGGAAUAUUGCACAAUGGGCGCAAGCCUGAUGCAGCCAUGCCGCGUGUAUGAAGAAGGCCUUCGGGUUGUAAAGUACUUUCAGCGGGGAGGAAGGCGUUGUGGUUAAUAACCACAGCGAUUGACGUUACCCGCAGAAGAAGCACCGGCUAACUCCGUGCCAGCAGCCGCGGUAAUACGGAGGGUGCAAGCGUUAAUCGGAAUUACUGGGCGUAAAGCGCACGCAGGCGGUUGAUUAAGUCAGAUGUGAAAUCCCCGGGCUCAACCUGGGAACUGCAUUUGAAACUGGUCAGCUUGAGUCUCGUAGAGGGGGGUAGAAUUCCAGGUGUAGCGGUGAAAUGCGUAGAGAUCUGGAGGAAUACCGGUGGCGAAGGCGGCCCCCUGGACGAAGACUGACGCUCAGGUGCGAAAGCGUGGGGAGCAAACAGGAUUAGAUACCCUGGUAGUCCACGCCGUAAACGAUGUCGACUUGGAGGUUGUGCCCUUGAGGCGUGGCUUCCGGAGCUAACGCGUUAAGUCGACCGCCUGGGGAGUACGGCCGCAAGGUUAAAACUCAAAUGAAUUGACGGGGGCCCGCACAAGCGGUGGAGCAUGUGGUUUAAUUCGAUGCAACGCGAAGAACCUUACCUGGUCUUGACAUCCAGAGAAUCCUGCAGAGAUGCGGGAGUGCCUUCGGGAACUCUGAGACAGGUGCUGCAUGGCUGUCGUCAGCUCGUGUUGUGAAAUGUUGGGUUAAGUCCCGCAACGAGCGCAACCCUUAUCCUUUGUUGCCAGCGGUUCGGCCGGGAACUCAAAGGAGACUGCCGGUGAUAAACCGGAGGAAGGUGGGGUUGACGUCAAGUCAUCAUGGCCCUUACGACCAGGGCUACACACGUGCUACAAUGGCGCAUACAAAGAGAAGCGACCUCGCGAGAGCAAGCGGACCUCAUAAAGUGCGUCGUAGUCCGGAUUGGAGUCUGCAACUCGACUCCAUGAAGUCGGAAUCGCUAGUAAUCGUGGAUCAGAAUGCCACGGUGAAUACGUUCCCGGGCCUUGUACACACCGCCCGUCACACCAUGGGAGUGGGUUGCAAAAGAAGUAGGUAGCUUAACCUUCGGGAGGGCGCUUACCACUUUGUGAUUCAUGACUGGGGUGAAGUCGUAACAAGGUAACCGUA